rnacentral:rRNA from 1 species
AUUGAACGCUGGCGGCAUGCCUUACACAUGCAAGUCGAACGGCAGCGCGGACUUCGGUCUGGCGGCGAGUGGCGAACGGGUGAGUAAUACAUCGGAACGUACCCUGUUGUGGGGGAUAACUAGUCGAAAGAUUAGCUAAUACCGCAUACGACCUGAGGGUGAAAGUGGGGGACCGCAAGGCCUCACGCGGCAGGAGCGGCCGAUGUCUGAUUAGCUAGUUGGUGGGGUAAAGGCCCACCAAGGCGACGAUCAGUAGCUAGUCUGAGAGGACGAUCAGCCACACUGGGACUGAGACACGGCCCAGACUCCUACGGGAGGCAGCAGUGGGGAAUUUUGGACAAUGGGGGCAACCCUGAUCCAGCAAUGCCGCGUGUGUGAAGAAGGCCUUCGGGUUGUAAAGCACUUUUGUCCGGAAAGAAAGCGCGCUGGUUAAUACCUGGCGUGGAUGACGGUACCGGAAGAAUAAGCACCGGCUAACUACGUG